rfam:Felis catus isolate Cinnamon breed Abyssinian chromosome E1, whole genome shotgun sequence.
GCCUGGGUGGCUUAGUCGGUUAAGCAUCCAACUUCGGCUCGGGUCAUGAUCUCGCAGUUUGUGGGUUCGAGCCCCGCGUCGGGCU